UACGAAGGGGGCUAGCGUUGCUCGGAAUUACUGGGCGUAAAGCGCACGUAGGCGGUUUCUUAAGUCGGUGGUGAAAUCCUGGAGCUCAACUCCAGAACUGCCUUCGAUACUGGGAAACUUGAGUCCGGGAGAGGUGAGUGGAACUGCGAGUGUAGAGGUGAAAUUCGUAGAUAUUCGCAAGAACACCAGUGGCGAAGGCGGCUCACUGGACGACUGUUGACGCUGAGGUGCGAAAGCGUGGGGAGCAAACAGG
rnacentral:rRNA from 1 species